rnacentral:lncRNA from 1 species
CGACGGCGGGCAGAACCGGGCCCGUGGUACGACCGCGAAAGCGGCCCGGAGCGACAACAGCGAGGGGCGGCGCGUAAGGUUCCGCUCGACCUUCUCCCCACCCCCGGAUUAAAGACGACGAUCUUCUGGACAGUUUCGGUGUCCAGAUGAGACUGUGUCCUUCCAGUGAAUGCGCGUUUCCCCUUCUCUGCCUGCAGCAAUCCCCACUCUGCUUACUUUCGUAAAAUCUGAGAGCAGAACGCAAACAUUUGCAUGAUUUAGUCCUCUCCAGGUGUUACGUGGAUGGUGGCCCCGGGAAGAAACCGAGCCCCCGAAAUUCCUUAAAGUCGCCCAGAUGUGGCCCACCUCGCGUUACAGAAGACGAGGGCGUUAAAGCACAUGCUCUAUGAUGGUCGAAUAUCCUCAGAAGACUGUCCCAGCGGCACCGGUCCUCUCCCGUCCGAGAUGCAGGCCCUGAAUCUGCCUGCUGCCCUGCUGGUCCUCGGCUGUCCCCUACGGACUCUCAAGGUCUCUGGGGGCCGCCUGGCCCCAUCCCACACACGCCAGUAAAGGCGGGGAAAAGGGGAUACAACCGGCCCCUCCUUUGCGUCCUAACCCCAAAGCUCUGGGAUGUUCACCCGCCACCAGAAAGAGGCAGGCAGCUGAGGGCAGGGAAUGGGAUUAUCCAGGGAAUUCGUCAUAAAUCUUCCACCCGCCCCCACAAGGGGCCUCAGGCAUCUUCUCAAGUCCAGCUCCAGGACACUCGUCCUAUCUGUAAACGUGUGAAAAAUCCUCCAGGGGUGUCCGUUUCGUUCCUCUGGGCUCUCAACAGCUUAGACCGUGUGAGCGCAAACCCGCUGGGACCCAGGGAGAUGAAUGUUCUGGACAGUUUUUAUGCCAUCGCAGGCAUUAAGUGCCUGCUCCUCUGGACCCUGUCUGAUUUCUACCUGAUUGUGACGGUCAACCAGAUACAUGGCUCCGAAAAGCUUCUCAGCUUUUCCUGAAACAGAACGACAGAGUUAACCAGCUGGAGACCCGUGGACCCCUGCCUGACGGGCACCUGUUCAUCUGCCUCCACAGUCAACAUUCCAGGCCUCAGAGGGCUCUUCCUGUUGUUUUCCAAAAGGGCGGCCGUGACAGGUCCUGGCCCGGCUGUUUCUUGGUGGAGAGACUCAAGCGGAGAAAAUACGACGCCACACGAGCCCGCAGCCGGCCCUCCUGCCACCAAAUUCCCGCUGCUACGAGAACCCCCACC